CUACGGGAGGCAGCAGUGAGGAAUAUUGCACAAUGGGGGGAACCCUGAUGCAGCAACGCCGCGUGGAGGAUGACGCAUUUCGGUGUGUAAACUCCUUUUAUAUGUCAAGAAAAUGACGGUAGCAUAUGAAUAAGCACCGGCUAACUCCGUGCCAGCAGCCGCGGUAAUACGGAGGGUGCAAGCGUUACUCGGAAUCACUGGGCGUAAAGGACGCGUAGGCGGGAUAUCAAGUCAGGUGUGAAAUCCUACAGCUUAACUGUAGAACUGCACUUGAAACUGGUAACCUAGAGUAUGGGAGGGGGAGAUGGAAUUAGUGGUGUAGGGGUAAAAUCCGUAGAUAUCACUAGGAAUACCUAAAGCGAAGGCGAUCUCCUGGAACAUAACUGACGCUAAGGCGUGAAAGCGUGGGGAGCAAACAGGAUUAGAUACCCCGGUAGUC
rnacentral:rRNA from 1 species